UAUUUUCCCAUACAACCCUGCUGCGAUGUCGCCAAACCCUGAGACCACCGCCGAGGAGCUCCCUUUUGUGCCAGGACAGAUCCUUAAGGUGUUUGGAGAUGAAGAUGAUGAUGAUGGUUUCUACCACUGGGAGUCUGGUGGUCUGUCUGGUGCCAUGCCUAGUAACAUGGUAUCUGUGAUCCCAGUGGAUGAUGACUACCUUAAACAUCAGCUCAUACAGUAGGGUUUCCUGCCUAUCGACCACACCUGUACAGGUCUCUUUCUCUCACUAGCUCUUUCACUCUCUUUCGCACUCUCUAAAAGAAUUUACAUGAGAAACAAUCUGAGAUUUCUUAAUGAUGACAAAUGACAUUGGUGUGCAUCCCAAAUGCACCCUUUAUACACCAGGGCCCUGGUGAUAAGUAGUAGACUAUAUAGGGAAUAGGGUGCCAUUUGGGAUGCAGUCCUAGACUAUGAUCUAAUCAUUCAGCUCUUGACCUCUGUGUUUCCCAUCAGAUCCAAGUGAAGAGUCAAGCGUGCUAAUGACCUGGUCGUCCGCAAGAUGGUGGCCAUCUUUGAGUAUGACCCUUGUGAAUGUUCCCCCAACAUGGACAGCGACAUGAGUGUGGAACCUCCACAUGGAUGUCUAAAUCCACUAUAACUUUCUUAUUUUGAUUUUAGUGAACUCUAAUUAUCAGGUAAUCACAGUUAUCAGGUAAUCACCUGUGCAUAUUACAGCUACACCAAAUGAACAGUAACUUUUCCCCAAAAACAUUUUCUUGUAGGCUGAGUUGUGUGUGUUUGGUGAUAUGGAUGAAGAUGGAUUAUAUUAUGGGGACCUUCAUGGGCUGAGAGGUCUGGUGCCAUCCAACUACCUGGAACCACUGCCAUGGAAAUAGGAUUAACAAGGAACAUCGAUACGUGAAAUUAUGCCAAGAAUUGGAAUUAGAUACAAUGAAAAUUAACAUUUUGAAAGGAUAUCUGAAGGGAUAUUAUGUUUUGUGUCAAAUAUACAGAUUGUCAUUUUUUUCUUCUGCAUAAAUACUUGUGACCAUAUAAAUCUCCUCCAUAAUUUGUAAUGAUCAUGGGAUCGUUUUUUUGUUGUUGCCGUUUGCAGGUAAUCAUGCACAGUAACGUAGUAGAGAGAUUUUGCUCUGUCCAAAGAAAUCCUAUGAACUACAAACCUUUUGUUGGACAUUUUAAGGUGCAGUAAGAU